UUUCCGUAGGUGAACCUGCGGAAGGAUCAUUACUGAGUUCAUGCCCUAACGGGUAGAUCUCCCACCCUUGACUAUUUAUACCUUAUUUGCUUUAGCAGGCCUUGGAAACACCCUGGGCUCCGGCUUAUGCGUGCCUGCCAGAGGAAACAAACUUUGUUUUUAGUGAUGUCUGAGUACUAUAUGCUAGUUAAAACUUUCAACAACGGAUCUCUUGGUUCUG
rnacentral:misc_RNA from 1 species